UUAUAACGAUGAUUGUAGGUUGUUCCGUAUCGAUUCCUGAUUCUAAAUUGAUGUGGGGUCAAGACGGCAGCUCAAUGGUUCUCUGGUGAGCGGCCGUUAUGUCCCUUUAUUUCUAUGAUUUUUCAUUCGUAAGCGAGAAGAGAUAUCAAUCCACUUCCAAAGGAUAAUUUAUAGAGAAAAGUCUAAUUUUUUUUUGGUGAAAUUUAUUUUUUUACAUUUGAAUCCAAAAUGGCGGAAAAAAUUGGUCAAAGUCAAAAAAUAUUUUUUUCUCAAAGGAAAAUCUCUGAAACCGAUAGAAAGACUGUAAAUUCGCAAAAACUUUCUUCUAAAGGUUUAUAGAGAAUUUAAAGAGCUACGUUUUCGUUCCUCAAUAAUAACAUUUC